GAUGAACGCUGGCGGCGUGCCUAAUACAUGCAAGUCGAGCGAACAGACGAGGAGCUUGCUCCUCUGACGUUAGCGGCGGACGGGUGAGUAACACGUGGAUAACCUACCUAUAAGACUGGGAUAACUUCGGGAAACCGGAGCUAAUACCGGAUAAUAUAUUGAACCGCAUGGUUCAAUAGUGAAAGACGGUUUUGCUGUAACUUAUAGAUGGAUCCGCGCCGCAUUAGCUAGUUGGUAAGGUAACGGCUUACCAAGGCAACGAUGCGUAGCCGACCUGAGAGGGUGAUCGGCCACACUGGAACUGAGACACGGUCCAGACUCCUACGGGAGGCAGCAGUAGGGAAUCUUCCGCAAUGGGCGAAAGCCUGACGGAGCAACGCCGCGUGAGUGAUGAAGGUCCUCGGAUCGUAAAACUCUGUUAUUAGGGAAGAACAAAUGUGUAAGUAACUAUGCACGUCUUGACGGUACCUAAUCAGAAAGCCACGGCUAACUACGUG
rnacentral:rRNA from 1 species